UGUUUUUGUUGCCGUCUUCUCAAGAAAUUAUGCUUCCUCGACAUGGUGCUUGCAAGAAUUAGAGAAGAUUUGUGAAUGCAUUGAGGAAUCUGAAAAACAUGUUCUUCUUGUUUUCUAUGAUGUUGAUCCUUCUGAGGUUCGAAAGCAAAGUGGGAUUUAUUCUGAAGCUUUUGCCAAACAUGAACAAAGAUUCCGACAAGACUCUCAGAUGGUGUCAAGAUGGAGAGAAGCUCUAAAACAAGUGGCGAGUAUCUUUGGUUGGGAUCUACGUGAUAAGCCACAAUCUUGAGAGAUUAAAAAGAUUGCUCAAACAAUAAUGAAUAUAUUGGAGUGCAAAUCUUCAUGUGUUUCAAAAGAUUUAGUUGGGAUUGAUUCUCCUAUAGAAGCGUUACAAAAUCAUUUGCUUUUGGACUCGAUUGAUGGUGUUCGU
rnacentral:lncRNA from 1 species